CUACGGGCGGCAGCAGUGAGGAAUCUUGCGCAAUGGGGGAAACCCUGACGCAGCGACGCCGCGUGGGUGAUGAAGGCCUUCGGGUCGUAAAGCCCUGUCGAGAGGGAAGAAUUGCAUUUAGGUUAAUAGCCUAAUUGUUUGACGGUACCUCCAAAGGAAGCACCGGCUAACUCCGUGCCAGCAGCCGCGGUAAUACGGAGGGUGCAAGCGUUGUUCGGAAUCACUGGGCGUAAAGGGCGUGUAGGCGGCGGAGUAAGUCAGGUGUGAAAUCCCUCGGCUCAACCGAGGAAGUGCAUUUGAUACUGCUCAUCUUGAGUACUGGAGAGGGAGAUGGAAUUCCCGGUGUAGAGGUGAAAUUCGUAGAUAUCGGGAGGAACACCAGUGGCGAAGGCGAUCUCCUGGACAGAUACUGACGCUAAGGCGCGAAAGCGUGGGGAGCAAACAGGAUUAGAUACCCCCGUAGUC
rnacentral:rRNA from 1 species